rfam:Danio rerio chromosome 25, GRCz11 reference primary assembly.
GUUGGAUAUGGUGACAUGUACCCGGUCACAAUUGGGGGCAAAAUUGUUGGAUCAAUGUGUGCCAUAGCAGGAGUUCUUACCAUUGCCCUUCCUGUACCAGUAAUCGUGUCGAAU